AAUGCUUGAAGACGAACCAGAGAUUUGAUAAAUGUCAUGAAUAACUGAAAAAUUAAAAAGGAAUAAUAUUAUCAUAUCUGGUAUGAACUUAAUCUUUGAUAAAUUUGGGAAAAGGAUUUACAAAUUAACUGCGUCAAUUAAUAUAGAGGUCACCCUGUGUUUAUGACCAAGGCGACAUAUAUUUAAAAACAAAUUAGCGCUAACAGCAAUAAAAAAAUUAAUGUCUUUACUUUGGGAUUAUACUUCGUGAAUAUGUGAAUAUUCCAACAAUAGUCGUGCCUACGUAGCCGGAACUGUUAAAAACUAAGCAAAACUUAUAUCCGGCCUAGGACUGUCAGCUUGGCAGCAUAUUUCCUACCACUAAAACUUAAAAUUAAGUUUUAUUAUUUAUAAAUAUUCUUGUAAUCGACGAACCUGCUCCGCUGAAUGCCAAUCCCAAUCUGUAGGAUUAUUCAAAAAUUCUGAUCAUCAGAAAUAAGCACGAUAUUCAGUUCGUUUCAAAUAGUUAAUUUAAUUUCUAAGUAAUUUAGAAAGAAGCAGUGA